rnacentral:ncRNA from 1 species
GUGUUGUGUGAAAGGAGAAAAUGUUAGCAUUCUCCUUGGUAAAAAUGGAAGAGGUCCUAGUAGCCUUUAUAACACAUAAGGUGUGGCAACUAACCAUGGUUUUUA